ACGAACGCUGGCGGCGUGCUUAACACAUGCAAGUCGAACGGAAAGGCCCUGCUUUUGUGGGGUGCUCGAGUGGCGAACGGGUGAGUAACACGUGAGUAACCUGCCCUUGACUUUGGGAUAACUUCAGGAAACUGGGGCGAAUACCGGAUAGGAGCUCCUGCUUCAUGGGGGGGGUUGGAAAGUUUCGGCGGUUGGGGAUGGACUCGCGGCUUAUCAGCUUGUUGGUGGGGUAGUGGCUUACCAAGGCUUUGACGGGUAGCCGGCCUGAGAGGGUGACCGGCCACAUUGGGACUGAGAUACGGCCCAGACUCCUACGGGAGGCAGCAGUGGGGAAUAUUGCACAAUGGGCGGAAGCCUGAUGCAGCAACGCCGCGUGCGGGAUGACGGCCUUCGGGUUGUAAACCGCUUUCGCCUGUGACGAAGCGUGAGUGACGGUAAUGGGUAAAGAAGCACCGGCUAACUACGUG
rnacentral:rRNA from 1 species